rnacentral:rRNA from 1 species
CCCUUAGAUGUCCUGGGCCGCACGCGCGCUACACUGAUGCAUUCAACGAGUAUUUCCUUGGCCGAGAGGCCUGGGCAAUCUUUUAAACCUGCAUCGUGAUAGGGAUAGAUUAUUGCAAUUAUUAAUCUUGAACGAGGAAUUCCUAGUAAACGCAAAUCAUCAAUUUGCAUUGAUUACGUCCCUGCCCUUUGUACACACCGCCCGUCGCUCCUACUGAUUGGGUGAUCCGGUGAGCUGUUCGGCCAUAGCAAUGUUUCUUGAGCAGGGCAAUGAAUGUUUCGCAAACCUUGCCACUUAGAGGAAGGAGAAGUCGUAACA